AUACAAGACAGCUGGAUGCAGAGCGAUCCAGAUUUAGAACGACAUGAGAGAGUGGAGAGAAGAAUAGGAGUGAGAAAAAGGAUACCAAGCAUCAGUUUCUCCACAUCUGCUCCAGUCUGCUCCAGAAGACAAAUCCUCAGAUGGCCUCCAUUUAUACAGCACAAUUUUCCCAUUCUCUAGACCUACAGCCAGCAAAUAACUACACAAAUACAAAGAUAUGGGCAGACAGACACAGCCGUAGCUGAAUCUCCGACAUCCAGAACAGAGGAGCAGGGGGUCACGCUUUCACCCUCACAUUCUCCGACACCGACUCCAGAGCCACAAUGACCCCAGAUGAUUAUCUACAAAAACACAACAAGACUGAGUUUGUGAUAACCCACAGUCCAGCUAUCGAGGACUACGCACCCUGAUGACGCCCACCUUGGCCAGUAACCCUCUCCAUCCGCAUGCCCUGAACAAACCAACACACGCACGCCUCUGCUAAUUAAAGCUUAAGCAACCACGGCUGGCCAGCCACAGACUGGAGAGUCUUAACUCAUUAACCAGAAACACAAAAGAAAAGGAGUCUGAAAAAUGGAGAGAGGGCGGCAGGGGAGGCAACUUGUCUUUGUGAUAGAGAUUUCUCCACACAUGACACCGUUCGACCACAAUGCUGGGCUGUUCUCUGAUCAGCUGUGACACUG